UAGUCGUGAUGGCACGCCAUGGAAAUGCGCAUGAAGCAGAAAACUAAGUAUCUCUCAUCUUACACUGUCAGUGGAUCAUAUUAGCGACACCAAUAUCUGCAAAUUGUGAGCCAAGAGGAGAUCGGUGGGAACAGCCAUUUGAUAAUUUUGACAAACUGAAGGACCAAGUCGAGGCUCUGCCCCGUACUUUCAGCGCAAAGGUAUGGCGUGCGCUAAAGUGCCUUUAGCGCGCAAAAUAAACACCCCGCUGUCGGGAGUAUGAAAAGGGCUGAUGUUUUCGUUUGAAAAAGUGAAAAAUAAGUAUCGUUACAUUACCAUUCAGUUUGAGGGUUACAACAUAAAAUGAUAUUUUUUAAAUCUUACGAUGGCGGUGACAACUUCCUUCCGGUCUAUGACCUAGUUGUUUACUUCAUUUCUUGCUCAGUGUUGCCCAAAUCCUCUAGGUUUAUAGUCAACGACAGUAGAUCACUUCUAAACAUCGGUAAUAAGGUUCCACAUGUAAUCGUGGACACUUUUAAACCCGACCGAGCCAGGCCGCCGGACGGUCUAACAAUAGACCGUCCGGCGGCCUAGCUUCUUACAGCCUACGCUGUAUAACACCAGUGUCUGUGGCAGUGAGUUUCAGCAGCUGUGGAGUUUUGCACUUUUAUAGAAGACUGUCCACUUUUCUUAGGCUUGCUGCAUAUUAAGUUUUAUUAGUUUACACUUUAGUAACACAGUUUAGUCAGCGGAAAGGUCGAUAUUUUUUUUGUUACCAGUGCAGAAACGUACACAAGGUAGGCUAUUUUUUUUUUUUUUUCUGUGGAAAACUGAGUUUCAUGUGAAGUGAUUCAUGUAUACCUAAAUUAUUAUUUUUUACAUACCCAGUUUGUCUCUAUUAUUUUUGUUUUGAGUUAUAUAUGUUCAUUAUUAUUAAUGUAGCUCUCUCAGAAAAAAUAGAGUGUUUGCUUUCAUAGGUUGUUACCUACAUGUAGAAAACUGAAUAUCCCACAGCACCUCGGCCAGGGAUCUUCAACCUGCAGCUCUAAAGCCACAUGUGGCUCUCCGGCCCCUCCACUGUGGCUCUUAUAAGACCAUAUGCUCCUGUCACUCCAUUUCCCAGGUCAUCACAGAACUCCCACACAUGGAGCUCUCCUGCAGUAUGUAAUGUAAUGCCCCAAACCGUCACUGGUCAUCUUUCCAUGGAAAGCAAUUAAUGCCCUCAAAGUGAACGACUUUCCUUGGAGAACCAGGUUGGAACGAAAUUCAGUCAAUGGAAAUUCUGUUUGGUUUGCAAGAGAUGGAUUGGAGAGUGGCCUGAGGCAGGUAGACUCAGGUAGGCCGAGUCCUGCUUCCACAGCAGUGCCAAGAUGAGCCAUAGCAGGCUCUCUGAGGAUAGAGAAGGCAGGAGAAACAAAUGGCACUUCCCUUGUCAUCCCUUUGCUGAGGUAGAGGUGCUGUGAAGAGCAGUGUUUGGUAAAAUAAACACUUGAAAUGUUCCUCAUUGUCUUAACAAUUACAGCAGAGAUAUUGCACUGAGCAUGGAUUUGGAUCGCAGCAGACCUCAACGAGACAGCUUCAAACAUUACACUAAGCAGCUCUGCUCUCCUCCUGUAGGUUUGCUGGGUCACACCAUCUGUGGCAAUGGCUUUCACCAGCUGCAGGACUGGGUUUUCACUGUCCUUCAGAACAGCAUUUUGAAAUGUGGAGCUGUCACAGAAGCCACAACAUAAGCACUGAAAAAAUGCAUCAAAUGCACAGAUUCAUCUGCAUGGAGCCAUUUAGUACAUGGAGAGAGGGAGGAAGUCCUCUUCCUUUUUUUGGGUGGAACAGCCAGGCCCCUCCAGUUCUCAACUGCAUCUUCAUGAGCCGGAGGAAUGUUUGUGGCAGCAUCAGAUCCCACAAACGGAACAAAUCCGCAUAUUUCCCUCGAUGAAGGAAAGAUGACGAGCAAUGAAGCGAUCGACUCGAACAGGCAAGUUUUCAUGUUUGAAAAGGCCGUGUUUUAUGUUUUUGAACUCAGCUUCAACAGUGGCUGAACUUGCUGUGAUGCUGGUGCUUUGGAAGAGAGGGACCAUUAUUCCUGUCCAGAGAGGCAAGUAACUUGCGAGUCUUAUUAUAUGAGGAAUAAUCUCAGGGAGAAAGUGAAUAUUAUCUCUAUCCCGGUUUGCUCCAGCAAGUGACCUGCUCUCCUCGCAUAUUUCUGUUACCCACUGUCGUAGGUCAGUCUGGAUCUCAUCAAAUGAAUCCACUCUCUCACUUUCCUCUGUCUGUUCAUCUGGAAUGAUGAUGGAGUCUUGUGCAAUUUGGGCUUUCAGGUAUUUCUUGCACCUUUCUGAAGGAAGAGGGGCUCCAGAACUGUCAUCACCCUCUGCCUCACUGAGGGCCACAACAGUGAUAGCACGCAGUCCCACUGGCAUAUCAUCUUGAUGCAGCGUGCAACAUCAACCCUGAUAAAACAGGGGGGGAGUCUGGCAGACUGGGUUCCAAGAAGGACAUGAAAGUAUUCAUUAAGAGUGGCCAAAUUUGGAAGGUGGCUUGGCUCAAAAUCUCCAACAUCCAUCAGAUCUGCUGCCUUCGCUGACCUCCAUACAGCUGGUUCCAUUCUGCCCUCACACAGCUCUUUAGCGAUCUGUUCACACCAAGGGCGUAGAUUUGGUUUUGGCAUUGGUGGGGACGGAUGAUUCAACCACCGAA